AAGUCGUAACAAGGUCUCCGUAGGUGAACCUGCGGAGGGAUCAUCAAAGGAUUUACCUAAAGAAAAAGGUGCACUUUUUCUUCUUUCCUGUCUUGUCAAGUUUGACAAGAGAAGGAUGGAGGGAGUGCGCUCUUUUUCCAAACAAACGAUCACAACUAUUGAAAUGAGAGAGAGAGAGAGAGAGAGAACGAGGGGGGAAACAAACAAGUGCUUGCCUGAUAAUCUGAUGGUUUUUAAGAGAGAAAGAAAUACAACUUUCAACAACGGAUCUCUUGGCUCUCACAUCGAUGAAGAACAUAGCAAAGUGUGAAAAUUAAUGUGAAUUGCAGAAUUCAGUGAAUCAUUGAGUUUUUGAACGCAUCUUGCACUUCUUGGUAUUCCAGGGAGUAUGCCUGGUUGAGCAAUGUGAAUACAUCAUCAAUCAAAUUCUCUUGUUUGAAUUUGGUGGAGUUGAGUGUGUUUACCUUGACAUUUUAUUUAUUGUGCCGAGGUUCACUUGAAAUGGAGGAGAAACAGCUAGCGAUAUAUACAGGAAAGAUUUGGUUGAGGGAAAAGAUCGUGAAAAGACAGCAGUGGUUGUGAUUUGGUGGUCAGUGAUUUGGAAUGGGCAAGGAGUCAAGCUUGAUUAUAACAAUGACUUGAGAGUGUGUGAUGAUAUGAGAAAUAUAUCUGUCCUGCUUAAAAGUCUUGUUAGAGCUUUUCUUCUGUCUGCUUUGUCUGAUCUCUAGACCUAUCCAUUCUGACUUGGAGCUCUCUUGUUUUUCACAACUAGGGAAUGUGUCUGUCUGUCUGUUUGUGUAUGUGUGUGUGUGUGUGAUGUUAAGAGGGGCUUUGUCUUCUCUUGACAGAGCAGCAUACAAGCAAGCAAGCAAGCAAACAAACAAUCAUUAUCAUUCUCAACUCAGGCAAGACUACCCGCUGAAUUUAA
rnacentral:rRNA from 1 species